rnacentral:lncRNA from 1 species
UGGCUGACUAUAGGAUUUUUUUGAGCUUCUGGGAGCCUUCUGCAUUCCGUGGUUUGGGUCCCUUUCCUCCAUCUUCAAAACCAGUCUAACAGCAUUUUCAUAUCUCUAUGAUACUAAUUUCCUCUUUUUUGAGGCAUAAACAUAUUUUCAUUGAAAAUCGUGAAGAAUUGAGAAGGAAAGGAGUCUGAAAUUUUAAAUGGAGACUUCUCUCUUGCUGGCUUAGGUAAAGCAAGCCCCACAUGGCAAAGAACUGAGGGACAGACAAUAAGAAACAAGCUCUCAGCCCAACAAGCCACAAGGAAGUGAAUUUUGCCAACAACCAAGUGAGCUUGGAAGCAGAUCCUUCCAUAAUCAAGCUUUGAGACAAAACUGCAACCUGGAUUGACCCCUUGACUGCAACUUUGAAGAGAACAACUAAAUUGUGUCCUUACUGCUGAUCCACAGGAUUCUGUGUUGCUUUAAACUACUGUUUGUGGUAACAUUGUAACACAAAUAUACAUAACCAAUACCAUUUACAUGGUGCUUACUAUAUGUCAGGCACUAUUCCAAGAGUUUACUCUUUUAAUCUACGUAACUCAAGGAUAUAAUUCAUCUCAUUUUAUAAAUAAAGAAGAGAACACAGAGCUUAAAUAACUUGUCAAAGUUCACAGAGCAAGCAUCUCCAAUCAAAAUAUAUAAUAAUAUGCUUCUCUGUAAAAAUAAUAUUUUGUUAAUGAAAUGGAGUUUAAUAGGCCUGUAUGCUACCCACAUCUGAAUUCCACUGAAGUAUUUUCUCACAAAUAUUUUAUACCUCACAAAAUAUUUUAUACACAAAUAUUUUAUAUCUCACAAAAAUUUUUAUACCUCCUGGCAAACUCAAUCAAACCAAGAAAUAGGAUGCCUUAAUUGGUUAGACAAGGGAGAGUUGAAAUUCGUUUCAGCUUGUCUGCAAUCUGUUUGUAACACAGAGAAGAAAUUUUUGCCAGAAGACAAUUUAACGAGGGUGAUGUAAAUAUUUUAGCCAAUAUCAUGUAACCAUCUUCUUCCCAUAUUAACUAUCUUGUUCCAUAAUUUCCAUCCCCCACUUAAACAAUCCUGAUAUUGCCUAAUGUUAAAAUAUGUUUAAAAGAAAAGUUUUAACUUAGGCUAAAAUAUCAUUUUCAUAAAUAGAGCUAAGGAAAUGACAAUUGAUUAGAAAAUAAAUGUCAUGUUGCCACAUUACUGAACUACAUUAUACUAUAGGAUAUCCCAAGUACUGUAAUGUGGAGUAGUGUUAGAUUUUGGAUAACAGAUGGGAGACCAGUUUUGAUGCAAAGAUUUUAGUUGAUUUCCUGAGUUAAAUCAGAUGUUCAUCCCUAUAAAUUAAGUAGCAAUCUUAUCCCUAUUCUAGCAUUAUAAAUGCCUCUAUUAUAUCAUGUAAUAAAUGUUGACCAUAGUUAAAAUACAGAAGUGUGACAUAUUUCUUUGAUAUAACCCCAUAAACAUCCCCUACCCGUCUGUCCUUCCUUAGCAUUCAGAGUACUCUAGCCACAUGGAACUACCAUACCAAAACAUUUGUUUUAUGAGUGAAUAGCUUAAUUGCUGAUAUCCUUAUAGAAAACACAUACCUAUGUAUGUGUAAUAAUUUCAUACCAUUGUUCAGUUUAUUGAAUGUUGAAGAUAUUAAACAGGACACUUGUGUAAUGUAACUGCUCUUGGAUUAGUCACAAUAGAAAGGUAUUUGCUUAGGUUGUCAGCUGUGACAAACUGAAUCACUAAAUUACCUCAAUUUUAAAAUUAAUAAAAGAUAUUUAAGAUAUAUCAAUUUUUUCUUCUGGUCUGAUAAUAAAAGCAUGGAAAAUUCAGGAAAAUGGAAAAAUCCUAUGGCUUAUCAGGAAAGAUGAUGUUUUGUAUCAAUAUGUCUACCCUGAGAGCUUUGUCCAUCUUCUUUUGUUACUUUUAGCUAAUCCUUUAGAGGGGCAAAGAGAACAGAGAAAGAAAAUGAAAACAAAAAGAUGGCACGUAUCAAUCAUUUAUCCAGAUAAACCUAUUUCCAUAUAUUGGGUGUUCUAUGUAUUUAAGGAUAUAUGUUAAUAAUUAACUCAAAAGUUAUGAGUAAAUUUCAUUUAGCUCAAAACGUUUCCAUACACAAUCUGUUAUGUCAGAAAAUAUUAACCAAGGUUCCCACCUUACCGAUAGAAAAAAAUAACCAACUCCCAGUUGCAUCAAAUCUACAGUUUUGGUGAACGUUAGUUUCAUGACCAUUAAAAAACAGAGAUUAACAGAUGCUUUCAGAUCCAAAAUAAGGCAGUCUUUUAUAUACAAAAGCCUUGGCACAUGUCUGCAAAUGCUACUGAGAAAGGUAGCAUUGCAAACUGUUCAGUCUCAUAGUUGAUUCAAAAACACUGCUCCCUUCUUUUUCUUCUCUAACAUGCCAGUCUAGAAAUUCAGCUCCUGUGCCAUAGGGAUGAUUGGUAUUAGAGUCUUCCUUCUUGCAUGCAUCCCCUACAGUGCUGCAAUGAGGAUGGUAGAAAUGGGAAACACGUCCCCUCUUACUUGAGUGCCUGUAGCACAUUUGUUAAACUGUUUGUUGUCACUUCUCUGUAAAAUAUUAACUGGAAGUUGGUUCCCUUUUUGCAGCAGCCAAUGAAAUAUUCAUUCUCUUGAGAUUAUUUGUUGGUUUUUCAAGAACCUUCCUCUCCUUGCACAAUUUCCCAGUGCUAGAGACUUGGCUUAGGAUUAAAUUUCUUUUUAAAGCAUCUCAAAUCACCAUACUGUCUUUUGUCCUCUGGUAUGGGUUGUCCAGGGAGUAAGUUUACUUUUGUUCUGUAAUAAACUACCCGCAAACUUAGUGGCCCCAUCACAUUAUUAUCACUUACAAUUAUUACUAGGUGCUUCUUCUGGUAUGGACCACCUAGUCUGAUCUGUUUGGCUAGCUCAGGCAUCUGUAGUAAACUAAUGAGUCACCUAACCAAUUGGAUAUUAUAGGAUAGCCUUGCCUAUGAGUUUGGAGAUUGAACAACUGAGGCAACAGGCAUCUUAUCUACGUGUUUUUUCGUUCUUCAUUUUCUAGAAAGUUAGCAGGCUGAUUUACAUGGUCACCCAAGCUUUCCAAAUGUAGCCAGAGAGGGCAAGUUUCAAUGUAUGAAAACUUUUCUAGAUGAGAAUGCUUCUUUUGGGAAGAUUCUAUGUAUACCCCUCUCAUUGCUUUCCACAAUAUUCCCAGCUGAGGAGAGACAUGUUGAACAAUUCAAAUGAACUAAUAACACUCAAUUUCUUAAAAUCUAGUGGAUGCUGAUGUGUUCACUAUUUAUCUUUAAAUAAAUCAUUCAAUUUAUAUUAUUUUAACUUAACUAUAUCUGUAUCUAUAUACACAUAUAUUCUUUUAUAUGGUAUAUUUUAAUAUAAUAUUUUUAAGGAUUUGGUAAUAGAAAAAAUAAACAAAACUAUAAAUUUGAAUAGACCUACCAACUUGGCCCCUAGCAUUUGCUGGCAUUUGCAAUAUAAAAAUUCAUCACUUAUUCUUUCUAAAAUUAGAAUAAUUAGAAAAUAAGAGUGGAUACUUAGAAAUUAGAAUCUUUUACAGGCAAUACCUAACUAAAAAUAAAGCUGAUAAAAUUUACCUUCCCAUCUUCCAAUGUUGUUUCUGGCUACAAUGGGACUAAAUAAGACAUAGACAAAAGGGAGGUAUCUAAAAAAUUCUUCUAUAUUUAAAAUUAAAUAGCACACUUAUGUAUCACACAUGGGUCCACAAAGAAACCACAAAAGGUAUUAUCAAAAGUUUUAGUUGAAUCUAUAUUAUGUCCUUACUAUGAAUACUAAUCUGUGUGUGUGUGUGUGUGUGUGUGUGUGUGUGUGUGUGUGUACUUGAAAAUAAUUUGUUUGAUUCAGGGCUUGCAUUUUUGCUCUUUAUUUUUCUUAAUUAUAUUAUACUUCUAUUUCCCAGUCAUCUCAUUUAUGAGUUAUGCUUUUCUGUAUUCAUUAACAGAUUUCCUUUUAUCCCACUUGCAUUUUUCUUUCCCAGCCCACUUUAUGUUGGAAACCUCCUCCUUCCAUGGCCUUCCUGAUAGCAGAUGAUAGAAAAGUAAAUGUUUUAGUUAACCAUAACAAAAAUUAUGUUAUCCUUAACCAUGCUCUACCUCUCACAUUUUACACUUAAUCUAUAUAGAAAUCCAACUGACCUUAUCACCAAAAUGUUUUCGUAAUCUGAAACCCAUGUCUACACCGCCAUCAUCUUGGUCUGUUUCAUCAUGAUAUCACACUCAGACUAAUGCCAUAGCCAUCCCACCACCACGUUUUCAUUGCUUUAAUUUUUGCCCAACCUGCUUUAGUGUAUUUUCUACAUAAUAGCCUGGGAGACAAUUUAAAAUGUAGUUCUGAUGUCACUAUUUUACUAUAAAACUUGUAGUGGCUUCACUUAGCCCUUCCUUUACCUGAAUGUUCUCUCCAAAAAGUCCCUCAACUUCUUGUUGUUGCUCAAAUUACAUGUUUUCAAUGAAGCCCACUCUAACUACCGCCCUUGCCCCAUGUAUCCACUACUUUAAGUCUUGCUUACUCUAGUUCUACAUUUUUUCAUAACAUUCAUCAUUUGUAGCAAAGUGACCUACAAAUAUGUAUUCACCUGUUUAGUAUUUAAUAUCUGCAUAUUCUAUUUCACUGGGGCAAGAAAAGUAUUGUUUUUUCACUGGUAUAAGAACCUACAACAUUGCCUCAGAUAUGAUAACCCUUCUAUAAAUAUUUAUAAAAUGAAUAAAGCAUUCAUUUUAAAAAUUGGGUCUCAUAAUUCACGGUUAAAGCAUUUUGACUACAGAUUUAAUUCUUUAAACUGUGAUGGAUACAUUCAUUUAACAAUGUCUUCAUGAGCCAGUUUGGAUUUUUAAGACAUUUGUCUAUUUCAUUUAGAUUGCAAAUUAUUGGCAUGAAAAUUUCCAUAAUUUUAUUGUCUACAAUAUUUAUAAAAUUCAUAUUUCCAUCUUUUUUCUAUGAUCAGUUUCAUCAGAUAUUACUUUCUGCUUUCUCUCUAUAACAAAUGAUGAACAAAUUUCUAUCUUAUUAGUUCCUUCUUACUACUAUGUGUUUAUUUUACGUCAUUUUUCUGUGUUUUAAAAAUGGGUGGCUAGCUCAUUAAUUUUCUAUCUUUUGCCAUCCCAACAGCUACAUUUAGAGCUCUGAUUUCGCCUUCAAGAUACUGUUUUAAAUGCAUUCCAUAACGUUUAUAUUAUAUUGUAAUAAUUAAGUUCCAAAUAUUUUCUUUAGCAUGUGAUUUUUUUCUUUGACCUAAGGGUUAUGUAGAAAUGUGCUUCUUCAUUUCCAAAGACAGAAGAAAAUUUUACUUAUCUUAUAGUUAUUAUUAUUUUUGCUGAAUUUCACUGUGGGUGGAGAAAAAUUUCCAUAUGACAUCAGUGUUUGAAAUUUGUUAAGACUUGCUCUAUGGGUCAAUAUAUAAUCAAUCUUCAUAAACACUCUAUGUUGGCUUAAAAAAAUGUACAUACCAAAAUUGAUAUGUACAAUACCAAUUGGUAUGUACAAAAUUGGUAUGUACAAUACCAAUACCAAGGGUACAGCAUUCUAUAUGUAUGUAUUAGGUGGUUUCUUAAUUAUAUUCUUCAAUACUUCUAUCUCCUCAAAGCAUUUGCCUUCUUUUUCAUAAGCUCCUAUGAUAUGUUCAACAUCUUCUACUAUGAUUGUUGACUGAUGUAUUCUUUGUGUAUUUAUAUGAUUUUUUCUUUUUUUUAUAAUUUAGAAAUUGAUUUCUGAUGAACUGAAACUCUUAUAUGAUAUUCAUCUAUAUCUCUAAAAAGCCUUUAUGUAAAAAUUAUAUCUGUAGUGACAUAGCUACAUCAGCUCUUUUUGUCUAGUUUGCAUAUUGUACCUCUUCUUUUUCAUUCCUAUAUCUUUGUUUUAGAUUAGAUCUAUUUCUCAUGAAUCAGUGACAAUAAUGUGUGCAUUUAUUUUCUAACAGUUCAAUCUAUACUGUUGUUUUAUUCAUCUUUGUGCAAAAGCCACACUCUUCUAUUUAUUGUGGUUUUACAAUAAGUCUUCAUAUUUAUCAGUUUCAUGUCCUUUAAUUGUGUUCUUUUUCUUUAAGAUUGCCUUGGCAGAGUUUCUCUUCUGCUUGAAACGUAGAAAGUGGGAAAGGAAUCUUACACCCAUUUUAACAAAUGAGUAAAAUUUGGAUAAUCUAAAAAGCCACAGUUUUUAUUGAAUCCAUCAAAGAGCUAAAGACAAAAGGCAGUGAAGAGAACUGAAUUCCAACUAAUGGCAUAAUCUUCUGAGAUGUAAGGCACGUGAGCCAUUUUACCAUUGGCAGAUCACAGAAGGAAGAGGUAGCUGUUGUAGAAGCAGAUAAGAAAAAAUUAACUCUAAUUUUAAUAAUUUUUUAAAGCUGCAUUUGGACACAGCAUCAGUUUAGAUUACCUGGGAUUUCAAGAUACAAAGACGAUCUGUGGACACAUACACUUUUCUCCAAAGACCUCCACUGAUUAUUUACAAGAAAGAUCGGCUCAGGGGAAAAGACCAGAGAGCUCACCUCUGUAGCAGAGGAAAGCCACGGAAAUAAUUUUCUAUUGACUGGAAACACACAAAACACAGCACACUUCUCUGAGCUCUUUGACUAUAUGAAGCAAAAGCCUUAACCCACUGGAAAAGAAAGGCAAACCUUCCAGCUCCUGGGCUACUUCACCCAGGUAAGAGGUAGGAAAUUAUAUUACCAGUCACCAGAUCCAGGCAAAGAUCCAAUGCUACCGUGGAAUGGUAGACAUAGAAGUCUUCUGUCCUUUGCGAGUGGGACUGAAAUAUCUCUUCUUCUAGGAUCUUGUACCAGUAUAAACAAGUUUGCUAGAGGUGUGGAGAGAGGAAGGUAACUUACUCUUGCCAAGCCUGUCACAGAUUGAAAGCAGAAAAUAGCUGCCAUGCAGUGCCAAGUGUCAGGAAUGACAAAAGAGCCUUCACAAUCCCCAAGUGCAUAAAACCUUCCUAAGAUUGUGGCUUGACGAUAACUGAGAACACUGUAAUAGAGAAGAUUCAUGAUUAUACUGAUAUAUAGAGAAAGAACAUUUGUCAACAUAUAACACUAUCUCAAGCUAAAAACAUCUCAACUAAGUGUAAUAGGAGGAUUCUAUCUUCUUCAAUCUAAUAUAGGACAUCUACUUAGAAAAAAAAUAAAUAACUAAAGCAAAAAUGUCAAAUGAUUCUCCAGGCCCCAACUCCAACAAAACAAAUCACGAAACAAAGAUAUCCUCUCCAGUGAUAUUUAUCCAGUAUUUAAAUUGGAGAACUUAACCAAUUUAUAUAUUUUUAUAUUUAUAACAUAAAUUUUAAAUUUAUAUUUAUAAGGCAAGAAAAGAUAAAUUAAAAAAAGAUUGAAAUGAAAGAAACAAAACCGUCUUUAUUCAUAGAUGAAAUGUUGAGAUUCCGAAGAACCUACAAUGUAGAAAUUAGAAAAAAUAGGUGAUUUUACUAGUAUCACAGGAUACAAGAGCAAAAUACAAAAAUAAAUUGACUCAAAAAUGUGUAAGGAAAAGCAAAUACAGGCAAACCUGAAAAAUAAAUAAAAUCAAAUUUGAGGAACAUUGCACUACCUGGUUCCAAGAUUUAUUCUAAAACCAGGAUAAUCAUGACAAUGUAGUAUUGAAAUAAACAUAGAUAUAUAAUCAAUGGAACAAAAUGUAGCAUCCAGAGGUGGACUCUCAUAUACAUGAUGUCAAGAUAAUAGGAUGAAGAAACAUAGUAAUUACAAAAAAUGAUUCUGGAACACUUCAAAAUUCAGCGCAAGCAAACAAACCUCAGCCAUUCCCAUACUGUGUGUGUAUAUAUAUAUAUAUAUAUAUAUAUAUAUGUAUGCAAAAAUCCAAUCAAAUUAGCUCGAAGGCCUAAAUGUAAAUAAAAACUAUAAAACUCCUAGGAAAAAUUAUAUUAGAAAAUUUUUGUAGCUUUUUUGGGGUUAGACAAAAAUAUCUUAGGUUGGAAAUCAAGAUCACAAAUGAAUUUUUAAAGUAUGAAUUAGACUUCAUUAAAAUGAAAAAUGUUUUUUUAAUUAAUAACAUUUUUACCAAAAUGAAAAGUUAAUCCAAUACUUGGAGAAAAUAUAUGGAGUACAUCUGAUAAAGGACAGACUAUCCAAACUGUAUGCCAAACUCUUACACUCAGUAAUAAAAACAGCCUAAUAAAUAAUGAGCAAAAACUUGAACACUUAACCAAAGAAGACAUUUUAAUGGCAAACAUGCACUCAAAAAGAUGCCCAAUGUCGUUAGUCAAUAUGUAAAUGCAAAUUAAACCUGAAGUAAAUACCACUACUACACAUCUACUAGAAUGGGAGGGGGAAGACGUCCUUAAUAAGUGUGGGACAAGGCAGAGAACAAGUGGAAUUCUCAUGCAUUGCCAACUGUAGGAUGCGAAAUGCCUUUUUAGAUGUUAGCUCCUAGUAGUAGGUUGUCAGACUUGUUGUUCACAUUUCUCCCAGAAAUAGAGGACUAGAAACCCUUCAAUUCUGAUGUUACAUAUAUUUUAUGACUUGUUUACAUAUUCAUUAUACAGAUUAUUAAAAAUAAUGAGAUUUAGAUUGGUAAUAAAUCAUUUGUAAUCUAUUGGAAAUGUAUUCUUCUUAUAUAUCUAUAUGUAACACAUAAUACUUGUUAUCUAUUAAAAUACAUUUAUUGGAAAUGGGUAUUUUGUUAUCUAUUUUAAUUAUCACAGUAUAGAUUUAUAAAACUACUCUAAUAUUUAAUAGUUAUGAGACUUAUAACUAUAGCUAGAACAAUAUUUUAAAACGUGUUUAUAUUUUCACAAAAUGUUUUCUUUUAAAAAUAAAUGUAUAAUAUAGUCUAGAGAAAGAUCAUCAUUUGACUACUUAUUGUGGAAACCAAACUGGAUUGAGUUCUCUAAAGGCAAAUAUUUUUGCAUGCAUUCAAAUUUAUGCUUUGCAAAAUGUGUUCUAAAUAUUUUAUUACAUAAAUUGAACUUCAUGUGAGAAUGAUGAAGAGAGAUAUACUUGCUCUAUUGUGUGAACCAAAUUUGUGAAUACUAUACCAAUAGGUUCAUCAGAGGGUUUUCUGCAACCAUACUCACCCUCUGAGAAUAUUCAUAAAUAUAGUUUCCUUCAUCUUAUUUUCUGCAAUUGCUUAGUAUUCCAGUACUAUUUUAGGGUUCAAUAAAAAUUGAUGGUUCCAAUUCCUCCACACUUUCAUCUAGUUUUACGUGAAUACUCAUAGAUUAUUUCUCCUGGAUAGUGAAUGAAAGAUCUAUAAAGAAUAGAGUGAAGUCUAUUAUGCACUUAUUGAAUUUACAUGCCCUCUUACAAAAAUAAGAUUGUACCCAUUAAUAUUGCAACUUCCUGGCUAUCUCAUCCCAUGUUUUUUUUUUUUUUUCCUUUUGGUUUUUCUUUCUGGAAGCCCUAAAGUAUUUUAAGAUUGGCAGACAUUAUAUUAAUUUCUAGGCACUUUGAUAAAAUCAACAGAAAUGUUAGCCUAGACAUGACAAAACAGUUCAUGUCAUUCAGUAAUGAAAGAAAAUCUAUAUAAGCAUGGGAACACUUUAUGUUUGAAAUGACUGUAAAUUUUGAAACUUGCUGUUUGAUUCUACAAGCAAUUUGUUAGCUAUGAGCUUGACAUAGUUACAAAACAUUUGUCCAUGAUGUUUGCAAGAACAAGAUGUCCUGCUUCAGCUCUCACAACUGUGAAGCCAAGAUGAUUGUCUCUGUGAAAUUGUUACCAGUUUUGUCUGACUACAUCAUCAAGCACUGUAGACUCCUCUUGGUGCUUUUGAUAAUUACACUUUGAUUAUCAUCAAUGACUUCAAUAAGACAUCAAGUAGGUGGGUGGGAAUGCCGUCAAAGUGAUCAAUUAAAAUUACCAAGACUUUAUUUUAAAAUCACUUCAGAUAUGUUCCUAAGAUACGGUAUGGAUGGUGGUUAAUAAAUGAAUAAAGGAGUUAAAAUUUACAUACAGAUGACAUUUUAGACUACAGCAUAAAAUAAGUCAGUGGAAGAGAGAAAAAUACAGAUCAUUCCCUUUAAGACAUUUCCAUUUUUACGAGCUGUGGCAAAUAAUUUCCAGGCGAAGCAUGAAGUCCUUCAAAUUUCACAAGAAAUGUUAAUAUAUACUCAGAACUGGGCAUCACUAUGAAAGAAUGUAAAUCAUUGUCAAUAAGCAGGGCAUGUCCUACUAAGAUUAUGUUGCUACUGCAUAGUCACAUAUGACUCAUACAAUCAUAGUACUCUAGAAAUCUUGAAUGCCCUACAUUCAAGCCUGUGUGACUACAAUCCCCCAUGAUUUUGUGCCUUUUUUUCUUACAGUAUAGCAUCAAAAAUGAGAAGUCAGCUUCACUGAGGACCCCAGACAUACGUAUUCUUUGUUUUGUAGAAAUAUAUAAACCAGUAGUAGUUGUAGUCAUCUGACACAAACAUCAUUUUCUGCUAUAUUGCAUUCCAAUCUUUUUUUUUUCAAUCGGAUGGCUAAGUCAGUGCCAACACCUAAUAAUAUUUAACAUUUUAUUCAAAAAUCUUCAUUGAAUCCUGGAUUCUAGCAUUUGCUCUAAUUGUUGAUUGACCAUUUAUGCAGCCAACAUUAAUUUAACUUUAAGCUUAACUGAUUACUAGUAGAAAAGUGAUUUUGUGGCAUAUCAUGCAAACACAAUCUUAUUCAAAAAGAUUUUUCUACUUCCAUAUUGACAUGCAUUUGGUGAAAUAGUUUUUAAAAACCUAAUGGUUUUGAUUGGAUAUAUUGAUAUUAUGGUUAAUAACAUUUUUUCUCACUCAAUUUUCUAUAAGCUUGAACAGUUCUUUACAAU